AUGGAUUAUACGGUCAGCAUAAUUCUGCUCAAAGUACCAACAGGCUUCUUUCUUUUUUGUAGAAGUGAAGUGUUAAUUCAGAAAUUUACAUGGAAUUGCAAACAACCUAGAAUAGCCAAGAAAAACUGGAGGAAAAGCGUUGGAGGACUUGAUUCCUGGUUUCAAGGCUCCCCUGGCCGUCAGGGAGGGAUGAUUUAUGGCUCCUUUUCUUUUUCAGAUUGCGAGAGCCAGGCAGUCUCAGAGGCUUCGAUGGUCUCUGUCUCUGCAGGGAAGCACAGGAGAGCGGAGGCUCCAGGCGGAGGCGGAUCGCGUGAGGUUGUGGGGCUCACUGGGGGCACCUGGCGCCCGGCCUGGCCAGACCAGAGCAGUCUCUGCCACCUGCUUGUCUCCCUGCUCAAGAGGCCUGAAACCCUGCUGCUGCCAGGGGAAGAAGGUGACCGGUCAGCCGCAGGGGAUAUCGCGGAGUGUCAGCUCCCCAGCAGAGAGCUUUCCCGCUCAUCUCUGGGCGUCGUUCACAGACGGGAGCCAUGGUUUCUUAUCCAGAGCCUACAGACCACAGGCCAGGGGUUUUCCUUCAUUGUGGAGAGAAGUCUUAUGAACAGCUCAGCCAAAUCCAAACCAGUCACAAACUGCUGCUGUCAUUGUCAUCUGCCGGCGCCUGCUUGGCGUCCCCCCACCUUUGCCGGCUCUUCCUGGUCACUGUCAUUUCAGGCACGGCACUCCCGACUCCCGGUUUGCCUCUUUCUGAGCCAAGUGCAUCCUUCUCUUAGUGUUCUCUCCACGGGAAUCCAUUAGACACAUCUUUGUUUCAUCUCAUUGAAAAGAUUGUUUGGGUGGGUUAUUUAUUUAUUUGAGUGGUAGAACUACAGGCGGAGCGAGGAAGAGACAGAGAGAGAGGUCCUCCAUCGCUGAUUCAUUCCCCCAGAUGGCCACAAGGGCCCAGAUCCAAAGCCAGGAGCCAGGAGCUUCCUCUGUAUCGCCCACACGAGUGCAGGGGCCCAAGGACUUGGGCCAUCUUCUACUGCUUUCCCAGAUCACAGCAGAGAGCUGGAUCAGAAGAGGAGCAGCUGGGAUUGAACCAGCGCCUGUAUGGGAUGCUGGCGCUGCAGACUGGGGCUUUAACCCCCUUUGCUACAGCACCAGCCACUGGGGUGAGUUUUGAAGCCCCUGCUCCUGCCUUGUGCCCCAUCGUGGACACGCGCUGACAACUCCAUGCCGGCGUCCAGGUCUCGCCGAGUCCACACUCUCUGUUUCUUUACCUUAUUCUCUGUGUGCUUCAUGCCUGUUUCCUUUCUCUGCCAAGUGUGAUCUCAGUAACCGUUUUUGUUACUGAAAUGCCAUUUGUUUCGUUUUCCAGUCUGCCUGACCGUUUUAUCUCCUAUUCUCUGAUUGUGAUUUUGCCCUCUUUUUUCUGUUCACUGUUGUAAAUAUACAUAUUUCAUCAUUAUUAUUAACAGUUUCUUGUCCUGCAUUUAGAUUCCUGGCACACCAGCUCUUCUGACUUUGUACCUGGAAUCCUCCUCGGCUCCUCGCGUAGUUUGUAAAUUUUCCUCGUGAGCUCACGUUCAACGGUGAUUACCAACUCUACAGGGAAUGCAUUUAGUUCUGUUUGAGGAAAAGAGUGGAUCCACUUUUUGCUUGUGCCAGAUACCCGGGGGCUUUCCCAUCACAUGGCCAGGUUAUAAGUUGAGCUCUCAUUAUUGGGAUUUCAAUGCCAAUGUGGGGGAAUGCAGUGUAGGCCCUGUUUUAUACAGGAUUAGAGCUGGAGACGGGGGAUGGAUGGGUCUCUCAGGAC
rnacentral:lncRNA from 1 species